rnacentral:lncRNA from 10 species
UUACCUGGUAAACAAGAUGUGGCUAUUCUGCUGGGAAGUAAGAAGGCAGAAGCAGUAAUAUUCAGCACCCUCCUGCCUUGGUGCUGAAGGUAACAAAGCUAUCUGUGUUUGAUCAAGAUUCAAACCCUCAAUGUCUGAGAAAAGCAUCAUAUUCUUUAUCCAAGUGGACUUUGUAUAGAUGCAACAAAAUAUUCAUUCAAAUAUUUUCUAAAGUGCCAGGUCGCUUGAAGUUUACUUAUACUACUAUAGAUUUUAAGCUGCAUUUCACUGUAGAUAAUGCAAAGACAAUUAAAAGAACAGACAAUAAGCAGAUAAAGAGGCAUUAUUUUAUUACUAUGAAAGUUAAUAUGUCAUUUGUCACUGAAAUAGACAUGUCUUUAAUUUGCUUGGCAAAAGAGUGAGUAUAAGGUCUGAAUGUUUAAUCUCCCUAAAGUGUUCAUCACA